AGCGGCGAACGGGUGAGUAAUACGUAAGAAUCUACCCUUUAGUGAGGAAUAUGCUCGAGAAAUUGAGUUUAAUACCACAUAAGUCCUACGGGAGAAAGGCGGCUUUAUGCUGUCGCUAGAGGAGGAGCUUGCGGACUAUCAGCUAGUUGGCGGGGUAAAGGCCUACCAAGGCUAUGACGGUUAACCGGCCUGAGAGGGUGUACGGUCACAUUGGAACUGAGAAACGGUCCAGACUCCUACGGGAGGCAGCAGUGGGGAAUAUUGCGCAAUGGGCGAAAGCCUGACGCAGCGACGCCGCGUGGAGGAUGAAGGUCUUCGGAUUGUAAACUCCUGUCAGGUGGGAAGAAAGAUUCUUUUUUAAUAGAGAAGAGUUAUGACGGUACCAUCAGAGGAAGCACCGGCUAAUCUCGUGCCAGCAGCCGCGGUAAUACGAGAGGUGCAAGCGUUAUUCGGAAUUAUUGGGCGUAAAGGGUGCGUAGGCGGUUUAUUAAGUUUGUUGUUAAAGACCUUGGCUUAACCAAGGAAAGGCAAUGAAUACUGGUAAACUAGAGGGUGAAAGAGAGAAGUGGAAUUCCCGGAGUAGCGGUAAAAUGCGUAGAUCUCGGGAGGAACACCAAUGGCGAAGGCUGCUUCUUGGUUCACUACUGACGCUGAGGCACGAAAGCGUGGGGAGCAAACAGGAUUAGAUACCCUGGUAGUCCACGCCGU
rnacentral:rRNA from 1 species